rnacentral:rRNA from 1 species
AGUCGUAUGCUUGGCCUAAGAACUAAGCCAUGCAAGUCUGAGUAUGAGUCCUUGUACGACGAGACUGCAGAUGGCUGCUUACAACAGUUAUGGUUUAUUUGAUGGUCCAACACUACUCGGAUAACCGUAGUAAAUCAGAGCUAAUACGUGCACGAAAGGCCCGACUCACGAAGGGCUGUACUUGUUAGAUACAACGCCAAUCAGCUUCGGCUGCAAUGGUGAAUCAUGACAAUUUAUCGGAUCGCAGAGGCCUUGUGCCGGCGACAAAUCAUUCAAAUUUCUGACCUAUCAGCUUUCAACCGUAGGGUAUUGGCCUACGGUGGCAUUAACGGGUGACGGAGGAUUAGGGUUUGAUCCCGCAGAGAUGGCCUGGGAGACGGCCAUCACAUCUAAGGAAGGCAGCAGGCGUGCAACCUGCCCAAUGUGAACACCAUCACGAGGCAGUGACAGGCAAUAGGAGUGCAGGUCUCUGAAGAGAUUUGCAACUCAAAUGGGGUGGACGUAAAGUCGCCACCGAGGAGCAAC